AAUUUAUUGUAAUUCAUUUGCAAAUCUACAUUUGACAUACUCAGAACUUCAAAAAUUCCACUUGAAAUUCUGUUUUUAACUGGCUGCACUUGAUUUGCAUAUUAAGUAUAAACUACAUAUACAAGCUACAUAAUUUAAAUCUAUGUUUACUAAGUUAGAUAACAAAUAAGAAUAUGAAAUUCAUUAGUGAAUGAAUUCUCAAUGAAAUUUGUUUGCAAAUGGAAUGAAUUAUA
rnacentral:misc_RNA from 1 species